GAACGCUGGCGGCAUGCCUAACACAUGCAAGUCGAACGAUGAUUACUAGCUUGCUAGUAUGAUUAGUGGCGGACGGGUGAGUAAUAUAUAGGGAUCUGCCUGUUAGUGGGGGACAACAGCCGGAAACGGCUGCUAAUACCGCAUACGCUCUACGGAGGAAAGGCUUCGGCCGCUCCAGGAUGGUCCCGCGUCUGAUUAGCUUGUUGGUGGGGUAACGGCCUACCAAGGCGACGAUCAGUAGCUGGUCUGAGAGGAUGAUCAGCCACACUGGGACUGAGACACGGCCCAGACUCCUACGG
rnacentral:rRNA from 1 species